AUGUCCCGGGAGGCAGGGCCAGGGACCUUCGAGCAACUAGAGGCUUACCACUGGGACUUCCUGCUGGGGAAGAGCAAUCCCUGGGGGUUUUGUGGCCCGAGACCCGCCAGAAAUAACUUUCUCGUCAGGAAAGUGAGCAGCUCUACGUAUGACGUUGGAGAAGAGUACCGGAAUAUUCUUGUCUCAUUUAUUUCAAGGCACUUUCCAUCAAAAGGUGCAAAUAGAAAUAAAGCUACUUGGUCUGCUCUAACAGGAAAAGUCUACAUGUAAAUCCUUGGAGGGGGUUUCUAGGCACUAACAGACCAUGGAUAAGCAAGCAGUUCUAUUUGACGUUCUCCAGAGUCACUGGUAUCUGUGGCAUCAGCUAAGCUACUGACUGAAAUGUUGGUAAAUUGUCAACUCCUUGUCUUACAGCCACUGAACAUUUUAUGCAUGCAACAAGCCUCCUGUGUAUUUGUGGAUAAUCCCUACAGAGAGAACUUCCAUUACUAUACAUCUCAUGCCCUCUAAUUUUAAGAACACGUCAAAGUGAUUAGCUAUAUAAGUAAUCAUAUAUAUAUAUUAACAAAAGAUACAAAUAUGUUAGCUAUCUGGUACUUUUUCAUAUAAGAAAAGAUCUUAUGUAUAAUAUAGCCUUGGUUGGACUGGAAAAACCCUUCCUCAGCCUUGUAAAUGCUGUAAUUGCAGGCAGGAGCCACCAUGCCUGGCUUUAUAUGGUGCUUUAAAAACAAACACUUAAUCUUCGAUACUCCUUCCCAACUUCUGCUUCAUUUAAUCUAUUAGCUACCUGAAAAUUAAAACUUCCUUUCCCUCUGCCUUAAAAAAAGAAGUGUGUGUAUGUGUGUGUGUGUAUUCUUGUGCCUGCCUGCCUAUGUGUAUGUGGAGGCCAAAGAGGACAUCAGAUUCCUUGGAACUGAAGUGACAGGAAUUUGGGGGAUGCCUGACUUUUGUGGGUGCCGGACUCUGGUCUUCAUGAUUAUUUGUCAUGUCUUCUUAACCAAAGGCACGUCUCUCCUGAAACUCCUCUACCUUAUUCUUAUCCUUACGCCAGAUGGGAGGUUACAUCUCACAAUGAUGUUAAAAAGCCACCUGUCCAGGAGGUAAGGAAAGCUCUGCUCACUCCUUACUCACAGACCAGAAGAGCAGUGAAGGGUCAUAAUGACAGCAACAACUUCAUCCUUGAGUCUGUCACUAAUGUGAUCCUAAGGCAAAUACUGCCAAAGUACCUGCCCUCUGCAGUAGAAGCAGAGAGCUGGAAGACACUUCAUUCCAUCCCAACAAGAACAGAAUCCUGUGGGUAAAAAACAGAUACCAAUGAACAAUACUGAAGUAGGGAACAAGAUAGAGACAGCUGGUCAGCUGUGUUAUCUGAGCAGCUCAGGUGCCAGAAACUUUUGAAUAAAUGUAGUCUGACCUAGCUAGUCA
rnacentral:lncRNA from 1 species